CCAGAGAAAUUGAAAGUGCAGGGCCUUUCUCAAGACCCCAAGUACAAUUUUUGCAACCCUGCCAGAAUUUAGUUGGUAGGGUA
rnacentral:snRNA from 14 species